UACGAAGGGGGCGAGCGUUGUUCGGAAUUACUGGGCGUAAAGGGCGCGUAGGCGGCCGAUCAAGUCGGGGGUGAAAGCCUGUGGCUCAACCACAGAAUUGCCUUCGAUACUGGUUGGCUUGAGACCGGAAGAGGUAAGUGGAACUGCGAGUGUAGAGGUGAAAUUCGUAGAUAUUCGCAAGAACACCAGUGGCGAAGGCGGCUUACUGGUCCGGUUCUGACGCUGAGGCGCGAAAGCGUGGGGAGCGAACAGG
rnacentral:rRNA from 1 species